rnacentral:hammerhead_ribozyme from 1 species
AUCCAGAUGACGAGUCCCAAUCAGGACGAAACGCGUGUCCUGGAU